AACGGAGGGUGCAAGCGUUGUUCGGAAUUACUGGGCGUAAAGCGCGUGCAGGUGGUUUUUUAAGUUUCAUGUGAAAUACCCCGGCUUAACCGGGGAACUGCGUGGAAUACUGAGAAACUUGAAUACGGGAGAAGAGGGCGGAAUUCCCAGUGUAGAGGUGAAAUUCGUAGAGAUUGGGAGGAACAUCGGCGGCGAAAGCGGCUCUCUAGACCGAUAUUGACGCUCAUACGCGAGAGCGUGGGUAGCAAACAGG
rnacentral:rRNA from 1 species